AGAAAGUCAGCCCUAGUGCUCUAGUGGUUAAGAUUUAGGGCUCUCACAGCUGCGGCUGGGGGUUUGUUUCCUUGUCAGGGAACCACACCACCCGUCUGUCAUUGUCUUACUGUGGCAUCUGUGUGUUGCUGUGAUGCUGAAAGCUAUGCCCCCGGUAUUUCAGAUACCAGCAGGGUCACCCAUAGUGGACAGGUUUCGGCAGAGCUUCCAGACCAAGACAAACUAGGAAGAAGGACCUGGCCACCCACUCCCGAAAACACUGGCCAUGAAAACCAUAUGAGGAGCAGCGGAGCGUUGUCUGAUACAGCGCCAGCAGGUGAGAAGAUGGCACCGAAAGACUGGGCGAGGUACUGCUCUGCUGUCCACAGGGUUGCUAGGAGUCAGAAUCCACUCAACGGCACUAACAACAAAAAGAAAAGAAAAGAAAACAGGGUGGGGAAAGGUCACAGGGCAUAUGCUCUAGACAAGUUAGCUAUGCUGUUUUGGUACUGCUUUUUAGUUUUUAUGCCAAGACACUUAGGCUUCUUUGUGGUGAGUGCUAAACAGAAAUUAAACCAACAAUUGGACCAAAACAUGUUAACAAUAUGCCCACAAACAAUGUUUCUGCCCCUUCACCGGUGCCCGUCACAAAUUCAGCCAAGAGGCCACUAAGGCCCCACAGUUGUUUGCUGGACUACUGCCCUAUGAGAACAAUAGAUGUUGAUUUGUUUUUUUGUUUAAUUGUUCCUCUAAUUUGACUAACCAUAAGGCUGAUUUGUACAUUUACAAACAUUAAGAUCUGGAUUGGAUUUCCGAUCCUCAGUGUCACUCAGUCUUUCAACAUCCCAAUGGGCCCGUGUGUGUUGGCCACCUUUCAGGUAAGAAGGGGGAACCAACAAUACAGCUUCACAGUAACGCUUUCCUAACAGAAUAUUUUCUGCUGUUUUCCACAACUUCAGCAGCUUGGAGAGGCGAAGAAACAUCCUGAGGACUGUCCUGGAAGGUUAUUUUAAACAUCAGCAUCGUUCUUAUCAAGUAAAGAUAGCAUUUCCUUGGGGGGACUCGAAUGGUUCCUUCAGAGUGGUUCCGGUCUCUGAGGCAAAUAUGGAUCCAUGCACUGUGCUGGGGAGUAUUUGCCAGGGAGACUAUGAAUGCCCAGGUACACACGCGGUAUGUGUUUUGCUACAAAUGUUUUCCCAGUAAACAAGAAUGGAGCCAUCAAAAGAAAGGGAACACUCAUUUUAAAUCAAUUAAAUUCAAACAGAAAUGCUUCCUUAGG
rnacentral:lncRNA from 1 species